rnacentral:rRNA from 1 species
CCUACGGGUGGCAGCAGUGAGGAAUAUUGGUCAAUGGCCGGGAGGCUGAACCAGCCAAGUCGCGUGAGGGAAGACGGCCCUACGGGUUGUAAACCUCUUUUGUCAGGGAGCAAGGUGCAGGUCGGGACCUGCUGUGAGAGUACCUGAAGAAAAAGCAUCGGCUAACUCCGUGCCAGCAGCCGCGGUAAGACGGAGGAUGCGAGCGUUAUCCGGAUUUAUUGGGUUUAAAGGGUGCGCAGGCGGAGGCAAAAGUCAGCGGUAAAACCGCGGGACGAAACCCCGCCCCGCCGUUGAAACUGGGUCCCUUGAGUGCGGGAAGGGUAGGCGGAAUGCGUGGUGUAGCGGUGAAAUGCUUAGAUAUUGCGCAGAACUCCGAUUGCGAAGGCAGCAUACCGGCGGCGGUCUGACGCUGAGGCACGAAAGCGUGGGUAUCGAACAGGAUUAGAUACCCUUGUAGUC